rnacentral:tRNA from 1 species
GCAGAAAUAGCUCAGUUGGGAGAGCGUUAGACUGAAGAUCUAAAGAUCCUGGGUUUCUGCA